rnacentral:rRNA from 1 species
UACGAAGGGGGCUAGCGUUGCUCGGAAUCACUGGGCGUAAAGCGCACGUAGGCGGAUCUUUAAGUCAGGGGUGAAAUCCUGGAGCUCAACUCCAGAACUGCCUUUGAUACUGGGGAUCUCGAGUCCGGGAGAGGUGAGCGGAACUGCGAGUGUAGAGGUGAAAUUCGUAGAUAUUCGCAAGAACACCAGUGGCGAAGGCGGCUCACUGGCCCGGUACUGACGCUGAGGUGCGAAAGCGUGGGGAGCGAACAGG